GAAGAGCUGCUUGCUGAUUUUCAACUUGAGUGUUGAAGGGACUUUUGUAUACUGGAUAGUUCUUUACAGCGUAUUGGUGUGGCACUGUCAGAAUUGUAUCAGUGGUGUUGUAAAAUGUAUACUCAGUGGAUCAAACAAACACUGCCAGCUGUUCCUUUGGCUUUUGACCAUCGUGUGGUAGAUGUUCUGAUACCACCAGUAGGACAGGACAGCCUGUAGGAAGGACCACCUAUGUGACUGGAAGACCGCAAAUACGCAGUGAUGAAUGAUGGGCAGCCAGAGAAGGGCACAUUAGACUGAGGACAAGACAAUAGGACCGUUUAUAUCGAGAGUGUCAAGAAACGAGAAGGGAGAAAUGAUGACCAGAAUCAGAAGGACGUCCUGCAGCACCGGUUGAUCGCGUACAAGACCAGAUCGUCGUCCAUAUUAUCCACUGUAUCGAGAAACAGAUUACCUUCACUCAUCGGACUUUUCGCAAGAAGGUACUGGUGUUAUCAGUAAGUCUACCACAUAAGGUAGAAGGUCAAAUAAACAGCUUGUAGAGUUUGAUCCUUGUUGAGUACACUUUUUACAGCAUCAUUGAAACAGUAAUGGCAGUGCG